UUCCGGUUGAUCCUGCCGGACCUGACUGCUAUCGGAUUGGUACUAAGCCAUGCGAGUCGUUGUAGCAAUACAAGGCAGACGGCUCAGUAACACGUAGUCAAUCUACCCUAUGGACGUGGAUAACCUCGGGAAACUGAGAAUAAUACACGAUAGAUCAUAAUGCCUGGAAUGGUUUAUGAUUGAAAUGAUUUAUCGCCAUAGGAUGGGACUGCGGCCUAUCAGCUUGUUGGUGAGGUAAUGGCCCACCAAGGCUAUUACAGGUACGGGCUCUGAGAGGAGAAGCCCGGAGAUGGGUACUGAGACACGGACCCAGGCCCUAUGGGGCGCAGCAGGCGAGAAACCUUUGCAAUGUGCGCAAGCACGACAAGGUUAAUCCGAGUGUUUCCUGCUAAAGGAAUCUUUUGUUAGUCGUAAAACCACUGAUGAAUAAGGGGUGGGCAAGUUCUGGUGUCAGCCGCCGCGGUAAAACCAGCACCUCAAGUGGUCAGGAGGAUUAUUGGGCCUAAAGCAUCCGUAGCCGGCUCUGCAAGUUUUCGGUUAAAUCCACUUGCUCAACAAAUGGGCUGCCGAAAAUACUACAUAGCUAGGGAGUGGGAGAGGUAGACGGUAUUCGGUGGGUAGGGGUAAAAUCCUCUGAUCCACCGAAGACCACCAGUGGCGAAGGCGGCUUGCCAGAACGCGCUCGACGGUGAGGGAUGAAAGCUGGGGGAGCAACCCGGAUUAGAUACCCGGGUAGUCCCAGCUGUAAACGAUGCAGACUCGGUGAUGCACUGGCUUGUGGCCAGUGCAGUGCCGCAGGGAAGCCGUUAAGUUUGCCGCCUGGGAAGUACGUACGCAAGUAUGAAACUUAAAGGAAUUGGCGGGGGAGCACCACAAGGGGUGAAGCCUGCGGUUCAAUUGGAUUCAACGCCGGA
rnacentral:rRNA from 1 species